ACAGCUUAGUAAAUACUUACGUCCUGGCAACUUAACAGAUGUUUGAAAAAGUAACACACAUGAAUUGACACAAAAAACACUGAUUUCAUUCUUAAGGAACCACAGUUACGGGAUGUUGCACCCGUUGGCCCUGCGUGGUUAAACUUUGGGGUCAGGUGGAAACCCCUGCCUUCAGGGCCUCUUCCACAUCAGUUUUCACAGCUAUGGCUUUUUUUGUAGCAGCUGGCAAAAACCCGGCUUUGUGAAGACACAGCAUCACAGACGGGAGUGUAGCGACAGUGUGCACAUCACCCCCCAAGCUUGUGUCUGCGUGGUGUGCAGAGAUGUCCGAUGUGGCUGUUUCCCUCAGAACCGACCUGCGCUGCCCACCUCAGGGAUUGGAAACAGAAGACCUGGCAGUGGAACCUUUGAGAAGGGCUGUGAUGGGGCUGCUGACAGGUUGAGGACACCAAUGGGACAAUGAUGGGCCCACCUGUCUGUCCACAAGUCCUCGUCACUUGGAGCCCGGCCUCCGACAGGGAGAUUGUGCUGGAGUAUCCAGGUGGACCCCAAGUGCAAUGGCAAGUGUCCUUACAAGGGACAGAAGACACAGGGAAGGUGACAUGAUGGAAGAGACAAGAGCUUGGAGUAAUGUGGCCCCACGCCCAGGAACACCUGGGGCCGCCAGAAGCUGAACAAGACAAGGACAACCCUCCCCUAGAGCCUCGAUGGGGAGCAUAGCCCUGCUGACACCUUGCUUUGGACUUCUGGCCUCCAGAACUGCCAAAGAAGACAUCUGUGGUUUUCUAAGCCACCGGGUUUGCAGCCCUUUGUUAGGGCAGCCCCAGGACGCCAUUACAAUAGGAAGGUGGAGAAUUCCAAAGACAAUGGUGCAAGUCACCUGGGCUGGGCUGCCUCCAGAAGGUUCCGAGGCCUCACCUACAACUCAGGUGGGCCUCACCAACCCCACCGCCCCGCAGCGCUGCCUCAUACGUGCUCCCCAUCCGGAGUCCCCCUACUUCUCCAGGCUGUCUGCAGCCCCUCAC